rnacentral:rRNA from 1 species
UACGUAGGUGGCGAGCGUUGUCCGGAAUUAUUGGGCGUAAAGGGCGCGUAGGUGGUUUUCUAAGUCAGAUGUGAAAACGUGGGGCUUAACUUCACGAUUGCAUUUGAAACUGGAGAACUUGAGGACAGGAGAGGAAAGCGGAAUUCCCAGUGUAGCGGUGAAAUGCGUAGAGAUUGGGAAGAACACCAGUGGCGAAGGCGGCUUUCUGGACUGCACCUGACACUGAGGCGCGAAAGCUAGGGGAG